GUGCUUCCCCUCAACUUUGGUAUGUGGUCUUUCGAGUCACUUUCACAGAGCUCAGACCAUAUAAUAUGUCUCUUACCAUGAUAAAGCAGACAGAAUCUAAACUGGAGAAGAGAAGAGCAACUCAGCCAAGAAAACUGUUGAACUCAGAAAUUCACUGCAACUGAAGAAGAAAAAGAAGAAAACUGCAGCUGGCCUACCUUCUGAUACAACAGCCACACUGCAACUACAGUCUACAGAGUCAAGAUCAUCAUGAAUACUGCAAUGACUGUUAUCGUUCUUCUGGUGUGCUCAGACGUUAUCUACAUGAUACAAGGGAGAGGUAUACAAUAUCCUCGAUGCCGCUGUCCUAAAGUACACGCAGGGGGGGUGAAUAUCAGUUUAAUCAGGAAACUGACCUAUUACCGUCCUCGCUCACACUGCUCUAAGGAAGAAGUCAUUGUCACACUGAAAACCAGGGGUUCGCUCUGUCUCUACCCAAAUGGGAAUUUUGCCAAAACACUGAUUGAAAGAUAAAUCAAAGUAAAUCAACAGCGUCAGAAUCAACGUUCCAUUGAGACUCUCUCCCCACAUACCACCACUAGCACUUGAUCACUCUUUGUCUGGCACUGGAGGCUGUGCCAACCUGCAACCCCUCUGCUGGCUUGUCUUUGAAGUGGGGUUGGCCCCAGUCAAGUCUUGAAUUGGUGAUCGUAACCAGAACAAGUGGUGUUGGAGUGACAGUAGGGGCCACUGUUUCCUCUGGUCCAAAGAGACUUCAAUCAAUGAGUCAGGACAGUGAUGGGGACACUGACCUAGAAAGUGGCUGUCCUUUUAAUGUGUUUAUUAUAUGUAGGUAUUUAUAUUUUAUAUUUAUACAGCAUAGACCUGAAGGAAUAAUGUAAUAGUAUUGUUGAUAUAAAACCUGUAUUUGAUAUAUUUAUUGUCAUGUAUUCUUUUUUCAAAUAAAGCAAACAUUUAUGGGACAUAGAUUACUUGUUUUCUCAACAAUCUGCUCAAAAAUUAGUUGUAUGUGUACUUAAUCAAAAAAUUGAUAUAUAUAUAUAGAGGAGGGGGUGUGAUGAUUUA